AGAUUGAACGCUGGCGGCAGGCCUAACACAUGCAAGUCGAGCGGCAGCACGGGUACUUGUACCUGGUGGCGAGCGGCGGACGGGUGAGUAAUGCCUAGGAAUCUGCCUAGUGGUGGGGGAUAACGCUCGGAAACGGACGCUAAUACCGCAUACGUCCUACGGGAGAAAGCGGGGGACCUUCGGGCCUCGCGCCAUUAGAUGAGCCUAGGUCGGAUUAGCUAGUUGGUGAGGUAAUGGCUCACCAAGGCGACGAUCCGUAACUGGUCUGAGAGGAUGAUCAGUCACACUGGAACUGAGACACGGUCCAGACUCCGUACGGGAGCAGCAGUGGGAAUA
rnacentral:rRNA from 1 species